rnacentral:lncRNA from 1 species
AACCUUCAAUAUUAAAUCUAUUCUAUUCAACUUCAAAUUCUUAAAUUUAUUCUAUUCAACUUCAAAUUUUUAAAGUGUUCAUGAUAACAAUUUGAAUUCUUAAAGUGUUUGUGAUAACAAUUUGCAUUCUUAAAGUGUUUGUGAUAACAAUUUGAAACUUGGUCGCACGAAUGGUUGACUAUUGAACUCUAAUUUUUUCUUCUUUGGUUGUGCAGAUCUAAAUUUUGUUGUGAAGGGUGACUUCAUUAUCUUUGAUGGUUGAUUUUCUCUCCCCAGGCUCCUCCUCACAGCUUGCUUGUGAGUAAAAAUUUCUCUUUCUCUUGCCUGUUUAUUCAUGUCAAUCUUAUAAUGGUAUAUAAAAUAUAUUAUGUUAUAUAUUUAAAACAUUUAUGUUAUACAUACAUUAAUUGUAUUGUUUUUUCCACCUCCUCUUUGCUGAUUAUGUUUAUGUAUAUAUAUCUAUGAAACAAGUAAUAUACAUAUGAAACAUCAAUAUAGUAACUCUUACAACAAUUAAUACUAAAUAUACUUCCUGAUCAUCAAUAAUGAUUUGAUCAUGUUCGUUUGAUCUAAUCUUCCUACUCCUCGACCUAAAACAUCUUUCACUUCUUCUAACCAUUUUCAGUACUGCAUUUAAAUAAAAUUUUACAAAAUUAACUGCCAUUUAACAUAGUAAGUUUUUGUUACAUAUGUAAAUCACAAUGUAAGUUAAAUAAACACAUAAUAUGUUUUAGUUACGUCCUAAAAUAUAUCACAAUUCAAGAAUUUUGGUUACUUUGAAACUCAAUAAACCCUAGAAGGUAUCACAUUCAAAACUAUAUUUUUGUUUGUUUGCCUAUUUAAUCUAAUAUCUAAAAUAUACCUAGUAUUUCAUAUGUUAUGAAUAUAUAAAGUACUAACCUCGAAAUUUAGACCCAGGUUCUGUCGAAAAAGUUAUGUAUUUGCCGACCGUCGAAAGUCUUUUUCUCACCGCUGAAAUCUCUCAAAUUUCUUAGUACUAAUCGUAACUCUUGUUGUUACUUUAUGAGUUUAUUGAUACAUGAUUGAUUUGACUUAAUCUUUUUUAGUAUAUGACUAACAGUGACCAAUAUAACUAAACAUUGAGUUUAUCAAACACCAAAUUUAAAAGACCAUUCAAAUAAAAUUUGAAAAUCUGAACUUACUAAUUCUAAAAAUUCAACAAAAAAAAAAAAAAAGAAGAGAGAAAAUACAGUUAAAUACAAUGUAUGUAGAUUUUUUCUCAAUACAAUGUAUGUAGAUUAAACCAAAAGAUCUACAAUGAUAGAUUCAAAUUGAGAGUAAGAAGAAUCUAUAAGAUGUCAAAGGAUGGAUUUGAAAUUGAGGAUGAGUAAAAUGUGUAAUGUUCAUAGAAAAAACUAUAUCUACGACACUAAUAGGGAUAUAGAUUUGGAAUUUUGGUAUCUACGUCUUAAAAAAGAAAAGAAAAGAAAAGAAAAAACUAAUAAAUUGCUUUUUAGUUCUUUCCCAACAAAGUAUUAGAAAAAUGUUACAACACUUUUGAUAUUUGUUAAUCUUCUUUUUCAAUUUUCCACUAUUUCUCUAUUUUGUUUGUUUAAACAAUUUUCUAAACCUCACAACUUAAACGAAAAAAUUGGGACAACCCCACCUAACAAAUUGCUUCUCUUCCACAUUCUUCAUUACCUUUCUAAUUUAACUCUAUUUUUAAAAAAAAAAUCUUCAAGAAAUCGAAAAUAACUGAAUAUCUUCUUUUUUUCUUCUUCUUCCUUCCAAGCUCCAAAGUUCUUGCAGAAGCAAUUCCUGUCAAAUUUAAUUUGGAUCUCCCUUGAUAGCUUAAGGUGGGGUUUCCUUUUUCUUUUUCAAUUUCCAAAAUGAUUUCAUUACUAAGAUGAUAAAUGCAUUAAUUCCUUGAUUUCUGAUUAUGUUCAUCAUCUAUUUGUAUCAGUAAUUGAUCCAAUAAAACAGGGGAAUUCAUCUGAAAUACCUGAAUAUCUUCUUCUUCUUGCCGACCUCCAAAGUUCUUGAAGAGCCCAUUUCCUGCCAAAUUUACAUUAUAUUGGAUCCAUUGUUCGCCUACUAUCCCAAGGUGGGUUUGUUUUAUUUUUUGCAAUUUCCAAAUUGUUUGAUUCCACAAGAUAAAGAGAAAAUAGAUGAUUAAUGCACGAACCUCCUGAACCUUAAAUUUAUUUUUUUUGUUUUUUUUUUUUAUUAAGACGAUCAUCUAUUUGUAUCAGUAAUUGAUCGAAAAACCAUGGGGAUUCAUCUGAAACACUUAAAUUUCUUCUUCUUUUUCUUCUUCUUCCUGCUAAGAUCAAACUUCUUACAGAAACCAUUCCUGUUACACUGUCAAUUGGAUCUCUCAGUUAACAAUAUCCCAAAAUGAAUUAAUGUCAGAAAAUAAUGCAUGAAUUCGUGAAGCUUAAUUUGAUUGUGUUUUUUAUGACCAUCAAUUUACAUCAAUAAUUAGGUUUUUACUGGAAAAGCAAUGAUCUAUUGAUUUCUACUAACCUGCAUUCAAAUUCGAUCACCUUUUGACAUUUCUUCUUCUUUAUGUGAUCUGCACGAUUCGUGAACACGGAAGGUUGUUUCGAUCCUCAAAUUUCCGAUCAAAUGUCGAUGGUUGAGGAUGGCCGUAGCCUGGCAGGCUAUACACUGG